rnacentral:rRNA from 1 species
UACGAAGGGGGCUAGCGUUGCUCGGAAUCACUGGGCGUAAAGCGCACGUAGGCGGCUUUUUAAGUCAGGGGUGAAAUCCUGGAGCUCAACUCCAGAACUGCCUUUGAUACUGAGAAGCUUGAGUCCGGGAGAGGUGAGUGGAACUGCGAGUGUAGAGGUGAAAUUCGUAGAUAUUCGCAAGAACACCAGUGGCGAAGGCGGCUUACUGGUCCGGAACUGACGCUGAGGUGCGAAAGCGUGGGGAGCAAACAGG